UGGGGAAUAUUGCACAAUGGAGGGAACUCUGAUGCAGCGACGCUGCGUGAACGAAGAAGGCUUUCGAGUCGUAAAGUUCUUUUAUAUGGGAAGAUAAUGACGGUACCAUAAGAAAAAGCCCCGGCUAACUACGUGCCAGCAGCCGCGGUAAUACGUAGGGGGCUAGCGUUGUCCGGAAUCACUGGGCGUAAAGGGUUCGCAGGCGGAAAUGCAAGUCAGGUGUAAAAGGCAGUAGCUUAACUACUGUAAGCAUUUGAAACUGCAUAUCUUGAGAAGAGUAGAGGUAAGUGGAAUUUUUAGUGUAGCGGUGAAAUGCGUAGAUAUUAAAAAGAAUACCGGUGGCGAAGGCGGCUUACUGGGCUCAUUCUGACGCUGAGGAACGAAAGCGUGGGUAGCAAACAGG
rnacentral:rRNA from 1 species